rnacentral:rRNA from 1 species
AAUAGCUAGUUGCAUCAUUUUAACGAUGAUGCAAGAUCGACUAUGUCGAAUAAAAUUCUAGGUAGAAUUAUGAUAAUGACAUUGUCUGCCUAUGUGUCUUGACCAAAUUACGUGCCAGCAGUCGCGGUAAUACGUAGAAGACUAGUGUUAUUCAUGUUUAAUCGGUUUAAAGGGUACCUAGACGGUGAAUCAAGCUUUAUAAGAAAUAUAGUUAAAGGACUAAUUUACUAGAGUUACUUACGAGGGGGCAUUAAAGUACUACUGGUGUAGAGAUGAAAUUCUGUCAUACCUCUUUUCAAAAGAAAAAAUGAAGGCACAGGUAUAGGCGAAGGCAUCUCCUUAUGUGAUAACUGACGUUGAGGGACGAAGGCUUUGUAUAGCGAACAGGAUUAGUUACCCCAGUAGUCGAAGCAGAAAAUGAUGAAUGUCAUAGAUUAGAUGUAAGUUUAUUCUAUAAAUGAAAGUGUAAGCAUUCCACCUCAUGAGUAAUUUGGCAACAUUGGAACUGAAAUCAUUAGACCGUUUCUGAAACCAGUAGUGAAGUAUGUUGUUUAAUUUGAUGAUCCGCAAAAAACCUUACCACAAUUUGAAUAUUUAUAUUUUUUUUUAUUGUUUUCUUAUUAAUUUUCUUCUAAUAACAAGAUAAGACAAUAAAAUGUUUAUGAGAAAAAAGAAGAAAGUUAAUAUAGAGGCAAUAAGAUA